CGAUGGGAUCAGCCAGAUACAGGUCCGCCUGAGCAGUUUAUCCAUAGCACCGGUUCCCAUGCUUGCGCCAGUGUUGUUCCCCAACGCAGACAAGCUCGUUAUCGAGGCUCCAGAUCCAGUGACAGCAUCUUUCCCUAAGCACCGAUGUUGCAGCUCAUGGCUCAUCGCCUCAUCAUGUAGGCAUUCUGCAUUGAAGGCUCUGCUCAUCGCCAAAUCCAGGAUAUAUUGUUUGGUUCAACUUCAGAGGGGAAUAACAAUGGAUUUGAGUCGACAAUGGAUGCAAAGCCUAGGGCCACCUCAGUACCAGCACAUUAUGUAUUCCUCAUUCCCUCCUAAUCAGCCUAUUGUUAUGUACUGAACUUUGCUUGCUUCGUCCAUAGCAAUUAGUUAAAUAUCAUGUUCGAUCGGAUUGUUUCAACUGUUGAAGGAAUCAGGAUUGACUGUAAGCAAACA